rnacentral:rRNA from 1 species
AUUGAACGCUGGCGGCAGGCUUAACACAUGCAAGUCGAGCGGGGAUUGGGUGCUUGCACCUAAUCUAGCGGCGGACGGGUGAGUAAUGCUUAGGAAUCUGCCAUUUAGUGGGGGACAACAUUCCGAAAGGGAUGCUAAUACCGCAUACGCCCUACGGGGGAAAGCAGGGGAUCUUCGGACCUUGCGCUAAAUGAUGAGCCUAAGUCGGAUUAGCUAGUUGGUGGGGUAAAGGCCUACCAAGGCGACGAUCUGUAGCGGGUCUGGGAGGAUGAUCCGCCACACUGGGACUGAGACACGGCCCAGACUCCUACGGGAGGCAGCAGUGGGGAAUAUUGGACAAUGGGGGGAACCCUGAUCCAGCCAUGCCGCGUGUGUGAAGAAGGCCUUAUGGUUGUAAAGCACUUUAAGCGAGGAGGAGGCUCUUUUGGUUAAUACCCAAGAUGAGUGGACGUUACUCGCAGAAUAAGCACCGGCUAACUCUGUGCCAGCCGCCGCGGUAA